rnacentral:rRNA from 1 species
CACGGGGGGCCUACGGGAGGCAGCAGUGAGGAAUAUUGGACAAUGGGCGCAAGCCUGAUCCAGCCAUGCCGCGUGCAGGAUGACGGCCCUAUGGGUUGUAAACUGCUUUUGUACGGGAAGAAACACCUCCACGUGUGGAGGUUUGACGGUACCGUAAGAAUAAGCAUCGGCUAACUCCGUGCCAGCAGCCGCGGUAAUACGGAGGAUGCAAGCGUUAUCCGGAAUCAUUGGGUUUAAAGGGUCCGUAGGCGGACAAUUAAGUCAGGGGUGAAAUUCUGCGGCUCAACCGUAGAACUGCCCUUGAUACUGGUUGUCUUGAAUCGUUGUGAAGUGGUUAGAAUGAGUAGUGUAGCGGUGAAAUGCUUAGAGAUUACUCAGAAUACCGAUUGCGAAGGCAGAUCACUAACAACGUAUUGACGCUGAGGGACGAAAGCGUGGGGAGCGAACAGGAUUAGAUACCCUGGUAGUCCACGCCGUAAACGAUGGAUACUAGCUGUCCGGUCUUCGGACUGGGUGGCCAAGCGAAAGUGAUAAGUAUCCCACCUGGAGACCCG